CCGGGGGAAUUCGAUUCAGGCCUAACACAUGCAAGUCGAGCGGUAGAGAGAAGCUUGCUUCUCUUGAAAGAAAAGGACGGGUGAGUAAUGCCUAGGAAUCUGCCUGGUAGUGGGGGAUAACGUUCGGAAACGGACGGUAAUACGGCAUACGUCCUACGGAGAAGAGCAGGGGACCUGCGGGCCUGGCGCGAUCAGAUGAGCCUAGGUCGGGUGAGCGAGUUGGUGAGGUAAUGGCUCACCAAGGCGACGAUCCGUAACUGGUCUGAGAGGAUGAUCAGUCACACUGGAACUGGAGACACGGUCCAGACUCCUACGGGAGGCAGCAGUGGGGAAUAUUGGACAAUGG
rnacentral:rRNA from 1 species